rnacentral:lncRNA from 1 species
AAUUUCUCAAAGAGAAAUCAUGAGAAACAUUGAAAGAAAAGCCUGCAGGGGGUCAGGGAGAUAAAUAGAGGAGCACUGGUAGCCUGGAGAGUUGCAGCAGACCUUUAUAGACCAGAAAUUCAAAGCAAGCUUCCUCUGUGAGUGUCCAGACUCUUACUCACCAACAUUAUCCAUUGUGACCGUCACAGAUUCUCCACGCAUGGGGAAGAGGGUCAAGGUGUCCUCAUGCCUCUUUCCAUAGAUGAAUGAGUGCCCAGUGAAGUGGAUGGUCAAAAUUUCAUUCUGGGUCCCCACACUACAGAAGUGCCACUGGACAGUGUCAUCAAAGCAGAAUCCAAGAGUAGUUAUGCUCUCAGGCACAUAGCCAUUGAUAGCUGAAAGUGUAAAAUCUGUUAAAAUUCCAAGUCUAUGCCAACAAAAGGGCAUGUGUCUAAUUAUACCUAAGAUAAAUGUCUCCAUGUUAAUUUGGUUGUGUCAAAGCAGUGAUUAUCCAAGAUAAGCUUUAUCUAGUCUAACACGUGACUAGAAGAUCAAACUCAGAAUUUUCAAAUGAGAGAUUAUUCUCCUAAAUUAGCCAAAGGAGAAAUCUCAGGAAAAAGAUAAAGCCUUCCAUUUACAUUGAUUUAGUCAUUCGUCAAAUGUAUAGUAAAUAUUUUGUGCUCCAUUCUCUGCCUUUAAAGAUAUUCUAAUAAUUCCACAUGAGACUCCGUCUCAAAAAUAACAGAAACAAACAAACAAAAAACAACAACAAAACACUUAAACGUAAAACCCCAAACUACAAAAACCCUAGAAGACAACCUAGGCAAUAUUAUUUGGGACAUAGGCAUGGGCAAAGCUUUCAUGACGAACAUGCCAAAAGCAAUAGCAACAAAAGCAAAAAUUGUCAAAUGGGAUUUAAUUGAAAUAAAGAGCUCCUGCACCAC